AACCAUAGAAACCUGCGGAGUACCUGCGGAGGGAUCAUUAUUAAUUUUAAGCGGACUGAGCUUUCUUUGGUGAGGUCUUGCGAAAAUUGUAUUUAAAACACCCGCUCGUAAAAAAACAUUUAAUUAAAAUUUUCAUAAUUAAAGAUAACUUUUAACAAUGGAUCU
rnacentral:misc_RNA from 1 species